rnacentral:SRP_RNA from 1 species
UCAACUUAAUGUGACAGUCCCCUGAAGGGAAUAAUACUACUGUUGGUUAGACCUAGGAAGCUGCACUGCUUUCUGUCGGCCUUGACACAUUUCCUGUGUCCUUAUGUUUACAAGGGUGGAGGUGCUUGUCUCCCACUUGUAAACAUAAGGACACAGGAAAUGUGUCAAGGUCGACAGAAAGCAGUGCAGCUUCCUAGGUCUAACUAACAGUAGUAUUAUUCCCUU